GCGCCCGUAGCUCAGCUGGAUAGAGCGCUGCCCUCCGAAGGCAGAGGUCGCACGUUCGAAUCGUGCCGGGCGCGCCA
rnacentral:tRNA from 2 species